ensembl:lncRNA
CAUGAAAUGGUGACAUCAUUAGCUCAGUGCCACUGGGCAGCGUGAUGGCAGGCAGAGGGUAUGCAAGGUGGCACUGCAGGGUGGCAGGACAAAAAUAACACAAGUGUAAAUUUUUGCUGUGCCCUCUUGGCCAAUGGAAACAUGCUUGCGUUCUCCAUCUAACACGUUGGAACCACGUUGUAUCUGGCAUCGGACACUAGCAGUGGACACUAAGCCUGAUCUCGCAAAAUAAAUUCUAGUGUGUCCAAGAGGGGUGUUGAAAUCCAAGGUUAUAACAGUGUUUGUGUUGGCAUGAAAUAUGUACUUCUGUUUCAAGUCUUCAGGAGAUGAUGAAAUUAGACAGGGCACUCUGCGUCAGAUCACUCAGACAGAAUGCAUAAUUUCAUUCAAAGGCACAUUAACUUUGAGACAGCUAAUGAAAGAGAUGGAAACACAGAGACGGAGACAGUUUCAAUUGGUUCAACCGGGCGGAGAUAGUUGCCAAGGAGAUAAGUCGUGUGAGUGUGAGGUGUGACUUCUGCGUCACAGAUUUUUUUUUUUUUUUUUUAAAGAAAAAAUAUAAUUCUCUUUCCUCUCUUUAAUAUGGAUCAGUCUUUCGUCCCUGCAACAUCAGACGCAACGUUUCCACCCCUCGCAACCCCCGCGAUCACGAUGCGGUGGGGGUGGGACAGACAAGGUGGGGACCUUGUCUGUUUUGCUUUUCUCAAGAUCACCAUCAAAGUCAUGGCUUCACAUCUGAGGAGUGAAGGAAAAUAUUUUUGACUGUCACAUCUCCCUCCUGUUCACAACUAGUCAGCAAGUGUGAGGAUGUUCUGUCAGCGCAUGCCAUUCUCAGCAUUCACACACGCGCACAUGCACACACUGGAGGAGAGAGAUGACAUUUGAGCUAUGUGCAGCAUUUCAGCAUUUCCCAAACUCAGCCAUGGAAGCCAUAUUUAGAGGUGAUGAAAGGAUUUGGGAUGACAUUUAGAGUCUACCUUAAUUACUGGAUAGGAUGUUGCAUGAUUGCAUACAUAGUUGAGCAAAGCACACAAACUGACUGCCAUGCAUAAAUAAAUACUGCAUAUUUAAACUUCCCCCACUGCUCUGUACUGCCCAGUUAUAUAAGAAAGGACACACAAAUUUUACUUCAGUUUUCCAGGGCCCUCUUUAGAGGUCAAUAUAUUAUAAUAUCCCUGAACUUUGUAUGUUACGACUAACAAGCUUGGCAUACCUCCUUAUAUCAUACAAUAUAUGGGAUGUUUUUACUGUUUUGUCAAUCUGUAUGUGGGUUUUGGCAGUUUGUUUAAUGGACUUAAUAAAUCUGAAGGACUGACAGCAACAUUGUAUAGUCACUGUCAAAUUGGUGAAGUGUUGCCUUUCUUUUUUUAAAACCUUUUUUCAGGUAUGCACUAAUAUUUAACAUUAUCAGACAGACUGUAUGAUCAGCACAUAUAUAUACACUGAUAUAUUACUUUACUUUUUUUUUUUUACAAUUAUUCUCUAUUGCUGCCCAAGGAGACCUUGUAUAUCCAUUAAAGCAAACAAUAAAUUAAAAUCACUGUCUGCUGAAUUAUUUCAGCUUAUUUAAUAUAU